ACAUUAGCUUUUCUGGUCUCAUCAAAAGCAGGUCCCCGGGCAAAGGCCCUCUUCUCCAGUCUCUUUUGUGCAGGUGGGAGAGUUGGGUUCCAGAAGUUCUUUAUGGCUCCGACGGUCACAAGCUUUGAAAGGCCAGGUAAGGGCAUGGGGAUGCUUCAUGUGGCUUCCUGCUAAUAUCCCAAGGCCCCAGGCUCUGAAUAGCAGGAUGUCUGUUCUCCAGCUGGUUUUCCAACAGGAAGAGAGAAUCAAAUAAACAAUGCUUACACAGUAGUUCUUCUGAAACCACAGUUACAGCUCUGGAGAGAUGCACAGAGAGCCAACUGAAAGAGCCAGCCGAAGUCACCGAGUCUCUUGCAUACUCUUGAAUGGGUGGAGCAGAAGGUAAAGGAUGGGCUGUUACGUCUUCAUUUCAACCCGGAGAAACCUUGUUGAGUGCAACGCGGAGAAGUUAUGCUGGGCUCAGGGCAGAUCCAAAGGAAGCCGUGGCUGCCUACCGGUGUCUCCUGCAACUGGCAGGCUUUCGGCCUGGGAAUACACAUCAUUUACAGCAUGUAGAAGAAGUUUUGCCAACAGUACUGGCUGCGAAUCACCUUAUUAUUGUCUUCCUAAUUAAAAAAAAAAAUUAACUCAGUUUACUUAAUGUAGCCUCAUCUUAAGCAAUUGCGUCGGUGAAACCAUGGUUUAUUGUGCUGACAUGGAACUUUUCAAUGUGCCUUUAAAGAAAUGAAAUUCAACAGUAUCUUUACCCAAAACUGUUAGGGCUAGGUGCAUCUUGAAAUUUAGACCAGCUUUGGAUUUUUACAAAAGUAAUAAAGUACGUGUAUUUUGCGUAUU